rnacentral:rRNA from 1 species
UACAGAGGGUGCGAGCGUUAAUCGGAAUUACUGGGCGUAAAGCGUGCGUAGACGGUUGUGUAAGUCAGAUGUGAAAGUCCAGGGCUCAACCCUGGGAUGCCGGUGGAUACUGCUGAACUAGAGUGCGGAAGAGGCGAGUGGAAUUCCCGGUGUAGCGGUGAAAUGCGCAGAUAUCGGGAGGAACACCAAUUGCGAAGGCAGCUCGCUGGGACGUUACUGACGCUGAGACGCGAAAAGCGUGGGGGAGCAAACAGGG